ACGGGAGGCAGCAGUGAGGAAUAUUGGUCAAUGGACGAGAGUCUGAACCAGCCAAGUAGCGUGCAGGAUGACGGCCCUAUGGGUUGUAAACUGCUUUUGUACGGGAAUAAAGUGACCUACGUGUAGGUUUUUGCAUGUACCGUAAGAAUAAGGACCGGCUAAUUCCGUGCCAGCAGCCGCGGUAAUACGGAAGGUCCGGGCGUUAUCCGGAUUUAUUGGGUUUAAAGGGAGCGUAGGCCGUGCUUUAAGCGUGUUGUGAAAUGUAGGCGCCCAACGUCUGCACUGCAGCGCGAACUGGAGCACUUGAGUACGCAGGAAGUAGGCGGAAUUCGUCGUGUAGCGGUGAAAUGCUUAGAUAUGACGAAGAACUCCGAUUGGGAAGCCAGCUUACUGGACUGUAACUGACGUUGAGGCUCGAAAGCGUGGGGAGCAAACAGGAUUAGAUACCCUGGUA
rnacentral:rRNA from 1 species